UACGUAGGGGGCAAGCGUUGUCCGGAAUCAUUGGGCGUAAAGAGCGUGUAGGCGGUCCGGUAAGUCGGCUGUGAAAGUCCAGGGCUCAACCCUGGGAUGCCGGUCGAUACUGCCGGACUAGAGUUCGGAAGAGGCGAGUGGAAUUCCCGGUGUAGCGGUGAAAUGCGCAGAUAUCAGGAAGAACACCAAUGGCGAAGGCAGCUCUCUGGGACGGUACUGACACUGAGACGCGAAAGCGUGGGGAGCGAACAGG
rnacentral:rRNA from 1 species